CCUACGGGAGGCAGCAGUGGGGAAUAUUGCACAAUGGGCGCAAGCCUGAUGCAGCAACGCCGCGUGAGGGACGACGGCCUUCGGGUUGUAAACCUCUUUUAGUAGGGAAGAAGCGAAAGUGACGGUACCUGCAGAAAAAGCACCGGCUAACUACGUGCCAGCAGCCGCGGUAAUACGUAGGGUGCAAGCGUUAUCCGGAAUUAUUGGGCGUAAAGAGCUCGUAGGCGGUUUGUCGCGUCUGCUGUGAAAACUGGAGGCUCAACCUCCAGCCUGCAGUGGGUACGGGCAAACUAGAGUGCGGUAGGGGAGAUUGGAAUUCCUGGUGUAGCGGUGGAAUGCGCAGAUAUCAGGAGGAACACCGAUGGCGAAGGCAGAUCUCUGGGCCGUAACUGACGCUGAGGAGCGAAAGCAUGGGGAGCGAACAGGAUUAGAUACCCUGGUAGUCCAUGCCGUAAACGUUGGGCGCUAGAUGUGGGGACCAUUCCACGGUUUCCGUGUCGCNGCUACGCAUAGCGCCCGCCGUCGGGAGGACGGCCGCGACGACGUAAACUACGAAGAAGUAGACGGCGNGAGACGUGCGACGACGACGACGAGGGAGAGG
rnacentral:rRNA from 1 species